rnacentral:rRNA from 1 species
GGUCAAGCUACUAAGGGCGUACGGUGGAUGCCUUGGCGCCAGACGGCGACGAAGGACGUGGCUACCUGCGAAAAGCCUCGGGGAGGGGGAAGCACCCUUUGAUCCGGGGAUCUCCGAAUGGGGAAACCCUUCCGGGUAAAACCCGGAAACGGCCCGCUGAAUCCAUAGGCGGGUGCGAGCGAACCCAGGGAAGUGAACCAUCUCAGUACCUGGAGGAAGAGAAAGCAACUGCGAUUCCGUUAGUAGCGGCGAGCGAAAGCGGAACAGCCUAAACCCAGCGUUCCUCAUUGCGCCAUUGAACCAUUGUUUCAUUGCAUCAUUGCAAGAACGAGCUUGCCGGCUGUCUUCAAUGAACCAAUGACUCAAUGAAUCAAUGACUCAAUGCGGAGCGCUGGGGGUUGUAGGGCGUGCGUCGGUGUAGAACCGGAGAGUUAUCAAUCCGGCCGCUAGUCGAAUGACCUGGAAAGGUCAGCCAAAGAAUGUGAUAGCCAUGUAGGCAAAAGCGGACUGGACUCUUACGCGCGUUCCUGAGUACCGCGGGGCACGAGAAACCCCGCGGGAAGCUACGGGGACCAUCCCGUAAGGCUAAAUACGUUCUGGCGACCGAUAGUGAACCAGUACCGUGAGGGAAAGGUGAAAAGCACCCCGGCGAGGGGAGUGAAAAGUACCUGAAACCGUAUGCCUACAAGCAGUCGAAGGGCUACGUCUGGGUGGCAACAUCCAGGCAGGCCUGACGGCGUGCCUAUUGCAUAAUGAGCCGGCUAGUUAUUGUCCGUCGCCAGGCUAAGCCAUGAUCUUCCGGUUGCGACCGGGAGGGAGCGAGCCGCAGCGAAAGCGAGUCUGAAUAGGGCGUUCAGUGGCGGGCAAUAGACGCGAAGCGGGAUGAUCUACCCUUGGUCAGGGUGAAAGCCGCGUAACAGCGGCCGGAGGCCCGAACCGGUGUUGGUUGAAAACAGCUCGGAUGAACUGAGGGUAGGGGUGAAAGGCUAAUCAAAUUCCGUGAUAGCUCGUUCUCCUCGAAAUAGCUUUAGGGCUAGCCUCGGAUGAUAGCUCACGGUGGUAGAGAACUAGAUGGACUAGGGUCCGUUAACGGAUACCGAAUCCAACUAAACUCCGAAUGCCGUGAAGCAGAGUCCGGGAGUCAGACAGCGGGGGCUAAGCUUCGUUGUCGAGAGGGAAAUAGCCCAGACCGCCAGCUAAGGUCCCGAAGGCGUGGCUAAGUGGGAAAGGAAGUGAAGUCGCUCAGACAGCCAGGAGGUUGGCUUAGAAGCAGCCAUCCUUUAAAGAAAGCGUAACAGCUCACUGGUCGAGCGACUUUGCGCCGAUAAUUCAACGGGGCUCAAGCCACGUACCGAAGCUGCGGACUCCGAACCAUUGAGUCAUUGAGUGAUUUAGCGAUUGAGUGAUUUAGUGAUUUUGAGAUUGAAAAUACCUUUCAAUCGCUCAAUCACCAGAUCACAAAAUCACCCAAUGCCUCAAUGGUUCGGAUUGGUAGAGGAGCGUUGCGUACAGUUUGAAGCGGGACCGCGAGGGCCCGUCGACCGUACGCAAGUGACCCUGCCGGCAUAAGUAGCGAUAACGGAGGUGGGAACCCUCCGCGCCGAAAGUCUAAGGUUUCCUGAGAAAGGUUAAUCCGCUCAGGGUCAGUCGGUCCCUAAGGCGAGGCCGAAAGGCGUAGCUGAUGGACGGCCGGUUAAUAUUCCGGCACUGCGGCGGAGGCGUUAUCACGAGGCGGGGACGCAGGAGGCUAACGGAGAGUGCCCCAUUGGACAUGGGUCUUGCGCGCCUCAAGGAGGAUCCGGCAGGCAAAUCCACCGGGUCGGUUCAAAGCCAACUCUGAGGGGUGAGCCGACGGGCCUUGCGCCCGGUAAAGUCCGUGAUGUCACGCUGCCGAGAAAAACCGCUAAGGAGUCUCUUCCGCAACCGUACCCCAAACCGACACAGGUAGACGAGGUGAAUAUCCACAGGCGCUUGAGAGAACACUCGCUUAGGAACUAGGCAAAUUAACUCCGUAACUUCGGAAGAAGGAGUGCCUCGCUAGGGUUUACAGCCCGAGGAGGCCGCAGCGAAUCGCGCUCUGCGACUGUUUAACAAAAACACAGGUCUCUGCUAAGUCGAACACGACGUAUAGGGGCUGACGCCUGCCCGGUGCCGGAAGGUUAAAGGGAGAGGUCAUGUCCCGACGCAAGUCGGGACGGCAGCUUCGAACUGAAGCCCCGGUGAACGGCGGCCGUAACUAUAACGGUCCUAAGGUAGCGAAAUUCCUUGUCGGGUAAGUUCCGACCUGCACGAAUGGCGUAACGAUAGAGCGACUGUCGUGGCGAGUGACUCAGCGAACUUGUAGUACCGGUGAAGAUGCCGGUUUCCCGCACCUAGACGGAAAGACCCCGUGCACCUUUACUACACCUUAGCCUUGAACUAUGGGGUUGUCUGCGCAGGAUAGGUGGGAGGCUUUGAACCUGGGCUUUUGGGUCCGGGGGAGCCAACGGUGAGAUACCACCCUGAUGAUUCUGUGGGUCUAACCUUCGCCCGUGAUCCGGGUGAGGGACACGGCUAGGCGGGUAGUUUGACUGGGGCGGUCGCCUCCUAAAAGGUAACGGAGGCGCCCGAAGGUGGGCUCAGAUGGUUUGGAAAUCCAUCGUCGAGUGCAAGGGCAUAAGCCCGCCUGACUGCGAGACCAACAAGUCAAGCAGACACGAAAGUGGGGCCUAGUGAUCCGGUGGUUCUGCAUGGAAGGGCCAUCGCUCAACGGAUAAAAGGUACGCCGGGGAUAACAGGCUGAUCGCUGCCAAGAGUUCACAUCGACGCAGCGGUUUGGCACCUCGAUGUCGGCUCAUCGCAUCCUGGAGCUGUAGAAGGUUCCAAGGGUUGGGCUGUUCGCCCAUUAAAGCGGUACGUGAGCUGGGUUCAGAACGUCGCGAGACAGUUCGGUCCCUAUCUGGUGUGGGCGUAGGAGAUUUGAGGGGAGUUGUCCUUAGUACGAGAGGACCGGGAUGAACAGACCUCUUGUGUACCAGCUGUCACGCCCGUGGCACGGCUGGGUAGCGAAGUCUGGAAGUGAUAAACGCUGAAAGCAUCUAAGCGUGAAGCACGCCCCAAGAUCUGAUCUCCCAAGGGUGAGCCGUGGUUCGCUACCAUGGCGAUCCCUCUGAAGGGCCGCGGAAGACUACCGCGUCUAUAGGCCAGAGGUGUAAGUGGGGUAACUCACUCAGCUUACUGGUCCUAAUCGCCCGUUCGGCUUGACCAU